CUUGGCUGCUAUGCCCAAAGUUGAUGCGCUGUAAAAUUUUGACAAAUGUUUAAAUACUGAUGAUGAGGUAACCUGGGAUUUGACGCUAUCAGGGAAGCUGGAACUAUUAGCAGUAGCGAUCCUUGCAGUCGAACAAUGCUCUCUGGGGAGAUACAGCACGGCUGUGUUCACAUUGGAUUUCGCUGGACUGUUUGGAGAAAGUGUCAUGGAAGUUCUGCGUCCACAGCUUCUAAGAAUCGGUGGCCGGGUUUACAGGAAGAAUCCCAUCCAAGAACAGACUUAUCAACAUGAAGAAGAAGAUGAUGAUUAUUAUCAAGGCCUCAUGGAGUGCACGGAAGAGCCCUGUGAAGCCUACGAGGUGGUGCAGACCCCGCAAGGUUUCCGGUGUACUGUGAAGGCCCCCAGUCUGCUCUACAAGCAUAUAGUUGGCAAGAGAGGGGACACUCGGAAGAAAUUAGAAGUGGAGACCAAAACUUCUAUUAGCAUUCCUAAGCCUGGACAAGAAGGAGAAAUUGUAAUCACUGGUCAGCAUCGAAGUGGUGUAAUUUCUGCCCGAACUCGGAUUGAUGUUCUUUUGCUCACUUUUCGAAGAAAGCAGCCCUUCACUCACUUCCUUGCCUUUUUCCUCAAUGAAGUUGAAGUUCAGGAACGAUUUCUAAAGUUCCAGGAGGAAGUACUGGAGAAGUGCUCCAUGGACCACGGGGUUGAUAGCACCAUUUUCCAGAAUCCUAAAAAGCUUCACCUAACUAUUGGGAUGUUGGUGCUUUUGAGUGAGCAAGAGAUCCAGCAGACCUGUGAGAUGCUACAGCAGUGUAAAGAAGAAUUCAUUGAUGACAUUUCUGGGGGCAAACCCCUGGAAGUAGAAAUGGCAGGGAUAGAAUACAUGAACGAUGAUCCUGGCAUGGUGGAUGUUCUUUAUGCCAAAGUCCACAUGAAAGAUGGCUCCAACAGGCUGCAGGAAUUGGUUGAUCGAGUGCUAGAACGUUUUCAGGCAUCUGGAUUGAUAGUGAAAGAGUGGAAUAGUGUGAAACUCCAUGCUACAGUCAUGAAUACUCUAUUCAGGAAAGACCCCAAUGCUGAAGGCAGGUACAAUCUCUACACAGCGGAUGGCAAAUAUAUCUUCAAGGAAAGAGAAUCAUUUGAUGGCCGAAACAUUUUAAAGCUGUUGAGAACUUCUACUUUGGUACUCUGAAGCUCAACUCAAUUCACAUCUCUCAGAGGUUCACUGUAGACAGCUUUGGAAACUACGCCUCCUGUGGACAAAUUGACUUCUCCUGAGGUGGAUCGUGAAAAACAGUCAAUAUUGAACAUCCUCACAAGGGCAGUGGCACGCGAAACAAUGAUGAUAUCAGCGGGACUGUGCAAAGUUCCCUGGGAGAGUGUCAGCCACAGAAGGCACUCUUUCCUCACUACAGACCUGCAGAUGGAAGGAGCUCCCAGCCAGCUUGGCCCCACCCUUCAGCUCUGCUGCAAGCUCUGCUGGGGAGCGCCAGCCUCACUGUCACCCCUCAUCUCUGCCUCCUCACAGCCUUUCUCUUUCCUUCCUUCCGUAGCCUUAUCUUGAUUCUUGCUGUUCGAGAAGUCUGACUCUGAUCUCUGCAUGUUAAGGCCACUACAUGGUGAGGGCUGUGUAUAAUACUCAAAGAUUUGUUUAUCAGUGUGGCUUGUACAGAUCAUUUGUGAAUAAAUGAAUUUCUAAAGCAA